GGCGUGUGACUGCGUACCUUUUGUAUAAUGGGUCAGCGACUUAUAUUCUGUAGCAAGGUUAACCGAAUAGGGGAGCCGAAGGGAAACCGAGUCUUAACUGGGCGUUAAGUUGCAGGGUAUAGACCCGAAACCCGGUGAUCUAGCCAUGGGCAGGUUGAAGGUUGGGUAACACUAACUGGAGGACCGAACCGACUAAUGUUGAAAAAUUAGCGGAUGACUUGUGGCUGGGGGUGAAAGGCCAAUCAAACCGGGAGAUAGCUGGUUCUCCCCGAAAGCUAUUUAGGUAGCGCCUCGUGAAUUCAUCUCCGGGGGUAGAGCACUGUUUCGGCAAGGGGGUCAUCCCGACUUACCAACCCGAUGCAAACUGCGAAUACCGGAGAAUGUUAUCACGGGAGACACACGGCGGGUGCUAACGUCCGUCGUGAAGAGGGAAACAACCCAGACCGCCAGCUAAGGUCCCAAAGUCAUGGUUAAGUGGGAAACGAUGUGGGAAGGCCCAGACAGCCAGGAUGUUGGCUUAGAAGCAGCCAUCAUUUAAAGAAAGCGUAAUAGCUCACUGGUCGAGUCGGCCUGCGCGGAAGAUGUAACGGGGCUAAACCAUGCACCGAAGCUGCGGCAGCGACGCUGAUGCGUUGUUGGGUAGGGGAGCGUUCUGUAAGCCUGCGAAGGUGUGCUGUGAGGCAUGCUGGAGGUAUCAGAAGUGCGAAUGCUGACAUAAGUAACGAUAAAGCGGGUGAAAAGCCCGCUCGCCGGAAGACCAAGGGUUCCUGUCCAACGUUAAUCGGGGCAGGGUGAGUCGACCCCUAAGGCGAGGCCGAAAGGCGUAGUCGAUGGGAAACAGGUUAAUAUUCCUGUACUUGGUGUUACUGCGAAGGGGGGACGGAGAAGGCUAUGUUGGCCGGGCGACGGUUGUCCCGGUUUAAGCGUGUAGGCUGGUUUUCCAGGCAAAUCCGGAAAAUCAAGGCUGAGGCGUGAUGACGAGGCACUACGGUGCUGAAGCAACAAAUGCCCUGCUUCCAGGAAAAGCCUCUAAGCAUCAGGUAACAUCAAAUCGUACCCCAAACCGACACAGGUGGUCAGGUAGAGAAUACCAAGGCGCUUGAGAGAACUCGGGUGAAGGAACUAGGCAAAAUGGUGCCGUAACUUCGGGAGAAGGCACGCUGAUAUGUAGGUGAAGUCCCUCGCGGAUGGAGCUGAAAUCAGUCGAAGAUACCAGCUGGCUGCAACUGUUUAUUAAAAACACAGCACUGUGCAAACACGAAAGUGGACGUAUACGGUGUGACGCCUGCCCGGUGCCGGAAGGUUAAUUGAUGGGGUCAGCGCAAGCGAAGCUCUUGAUCGAAGCCCCGGUAAACGGCGGCCGUAACUAUAACGGUCCUAAGGUAGCGAAAUUCCUUGUCGGGUAAGUUCCGACCUGCACGAAUGGCGUAAUGAUGGCCAGGCUGUCUCCACCCGAGACUCAGUGAAAUUGAACUCGCUGUGAAGAUGCAGUGUACCCGCGGCAAGACGGAAAGACCCCGUGAACCUUUACUAUAGCUUGACACUGAACAUUGAGCCUUGAUGUGUAGGAUAGGUGGGAGGCUU
rnacentral:rRNA from 1 species